GGAGCAUGUGGCUUAAUUUGACUCAACGCGGGAAAUCUUACCGGGUCCGGACACACUGAGGAUUGACAGGCAAUAUCUCAUGGUUAUUAACCCGGUUAUUACAUUUUGUUUAAUCGGUUAUUAAGCAUCGAGUGUUAAAUAUGCUAGUCCUUUCAUGAUUAUGUGAUAGGUGGUGCAUGGCCGUUCUUAGUUCGUGGAGUGAUCUGUCUGCUUAAUUGCGUUUCACUAAGGGCCCAUAAAUUCAAGGUAUGUUAGCUAUCGUCGCUCUAUGGACCCCUUAUACUCGAUUUCGCUUUAAUUAGCGUUAUUUGUUUAAUAAGCGCGCGUCUUUAUUUAAUGAGUUUAAGACACUGCGCAUGCUGUUGGGCUCUGAAAGCAACGAACGUGACCGCAACGUCUUGUUGCCUUAAUAAAGUUGGCUUUAAUACAAUUCCCCGAAUUCGUAUUUAAACCGCUUACAGAGGCUAUUUAAAACUAGACGGACCGCUGUUUCUUUUCUUAAACCAGAGGAAGGUUGCGGCA
rnacentral:rRNA from 1 species